rnacentral:rRNA from 1 species
UACGAAGGGGGCUAGCGUUGUUCGGAAUCACUGGGCGUAAAGCGCACGUAGGCGGGUUUUUAAGUCAGGGGUGAAAUCCCGAGGCUCAACCUCGGAACUGCCUUUGAUACUGGAGAUCUUGAGUCCGGAAGAGGUAAGUGGAACUGCGAGUGUAGAGGUGAAAUUCGUAGAUAUUCGCAAGAACACCAGUGGCGAAGGCGGCUUACUGGCCCGGAACUGACGCUGAGGUGCGAAAGCGUGGGGAGCAAACAGG